rnacentral:tRNA from 2 species
GGCACUUUGGCGGAGUGGUUAACGCGGUAUGUUUGCAUUGCUUGUUGAGAUUGUGAGGUGCGGUUGCUAACGGGAAUAGCUGGCCUGCUAGUCCUUCUGUUGAGGGGAAGUUAGCCAGUUCCUUCGGGAGCGUGUGUUCGAAUCACACAGGUGUCG